rnacentral:misc_RNA from 1 species
UUGAUGCACAUUAUGAUGACAAAAAUUCACCAUGUUGGUAAAGCCAACCACUUCAGGGCAAGACGACAAAUGGCUGAAAGUUUAGGACAGAUUGCCAAGUUUAAGCGUCGCUAUGGACAAGAAGAUGUUGAAGAAACUGCAAAAUGACUCAAUUGUAAAAGCAAAAGACGAGCUUCACAUUGGUGCUCAAGUUUUCCCAUGCAUUUUAGUUUAGAAGGUCACAACAAACCCAAGGAUAUUCUGCAGUGGAACAAAAUUUCACCGUUGGUAACUCAUCAUUGUCGCCAUGGCUCAAGAGAGCAAUCAAAAACCAGCAGCAUAUAAACCAUCACUACACACACUCACUUACUUACCAACAUCCUC